ensembl:snoRNA
AGGGAGGCUUUUUAGAAGAUCCACAUCAUUGGAAACACCUCAUAGCCUAAAUAUGUGGUUCGCUUUACUCACAGAAGUAUGUGUUAGAUCGUGGUAAAGAACCACAAGGCAGAG